AGAGAUUCAGUAUCUCCAUGUGACACUCAACUGAAGCUUAACUGGAUCAGCCAAACAGUAAUGCUCAGACUAAAGGUGGGGCAACUCCACUUCACAGAGCUGCCUACUGUGGCCACCUCCCUGUGCUCAAGCUGCUGCUGUCCUAUGGAGCCACCCCUGCUAUCACGGAUGAUGACGGCGCAACUCCUCUACACAAGGCUGCAGACAGGGGUCAUCAGGAGGCAUGCGAUGUUUUGCUCAAGGAGAAUCCUGCUCUAAGGACAAUAAAGGACAGAAGGUCCAGAGCACCUCAUGAUCUGGUGACAGACCAUCCAACUUUGAAGGAACUUCUGCAGCCCAGGAAGUUAACGUGAAAACCAUUUUCUGGAUUUAAUAUCCCCUGCCAAUACAGCACUUACAACAUCGACUAUAGAUUUUGUAAAAGUAACAAUGUCCUUCAUUUAUAAGUCACAUUGGAGCUUUGUCUGGUGGAUUGCCAGGCUGAUGUGACUUGAUGUGCUGAUCAACUUGUGGAUGAUUUACAAAAAUAUCUGCAUCCAGCUCCCAUAUUGCUGGGGGCAACUGAUGACUAUAAUUUUCUGGGUUACUAAAUGCAGUAAUGUAACAACCAAGUUGCUACUACUUUAUUUUAUCCUGCUCAUACAGACUGAUAUUUUAAGGUAUUAAAAUUUCAAAUUAGUAGGCUAUUCUUAUCCACUGUUUUAUUUUUCCACAUUUCAUCUUACUUUUUCAUCUUUGCUACCAGUCUCUGCAGUUGAUCCUAACCAAAAUGAACAAUUUGAGAUGCAAUUUCUUCAAACCUGACUGUAAGAUUGAUGGACUGCUAGACUCAAAGUACAAUUUAAAACUUUGUGACAUAAAUCUGUGACAUGAAUAGCAACAAAUGUGUAAAGUAAGAUCUGAGCAGAUUUUCAGAAUUUGGUUUGACAGAAGGCAGGUUUUCCUGGGAAAGGGGUUAGCAAAAGUCCACAUUUUGUAAGCUUGAUAGGUUCGACAGAAAAGAAGGAAUUGAUAAGUGAAUUGAGACCCUUUAAAAUCAUUUGGCAGUCAGUGCCACUCAUGCCUUUGUUUCAGAUGAUUAUAGUUCAAUUUCUGGUCCAGAGAUUUUAGCACAAAAUAAUACUCUGAUGGAUCAGGACAAUGCUGAGGAAUGAUUCCAAUGACAGGAAUGCAGACUUCAGCAUGAAAUGUUUAGCCAAGACCUUGUCUGCUGUUUCCUCAAAGAACAGUAGUGCUAUUUAAAAAAAGAUUUAUCAGUCUUCAG